rnacentral:rRNA from 1 species
CCCUUAGAUGUUCUGGGCCGCACGCGCGCUACACUGAUGCAUUCAACGAGCCUAUCCUUGACCGACAGGUCCGGGUAAUCUUUGAAUCUGCAUCGUGACGGGGAUAGAUUAUUGCAAUUAUUAAUCUUCAACGAGGAAUGCCUAGUAGGCGCAAGUCAUCAGCUUGCGUCGAUUACGUCCCUGCCCUUUGUACACACCGCCCGUCGCUCCUACCGAUUGGAUGAUCCGGUGAAUUCUCAGGAUCGUUGUCUUGGUGCUGUUUCAGCAUCCAGGAUAUGCGAGAAUUUGUGUAAACCUUAUCAUCUAGAGGAAGGAGAAGUCGUAACA